rnacentral:rRNA from 1 species
CCUGGUGGUCAUGGCGAGGGGCCUGUACCCGAUCCCAUUCCGAACUCGGCCGUAAAACGCCUCCACGCCAAUGGUACUUUGUGUCAAGACACGGGAGAGUAGGUCGCCGCCAGGC